rnacentral:rRNA from 1 species
CAGUCGCCGCGGGAACACGUAGGGUGCAAGCGUUAAUCGGGAUUACUGGGCGUAAAGCGUGCGCAGGCGGUUAUAUAAGACAGAUGUGAAAUCCCCGGGCUCAACCUGGGAACUGCAUUUGUGACUGUAUAGCUAGAGUACGGCAGAGGGGGAUGGAAUUCCGCGUGUAGCAGUGAAAUGCGUAGAUAUGCGGAGGAACACCGAUGGCGAAGGCAAUCCCCUGGGCCUGUACUGACGCUCAUGCACGAAAGCGUGGGGAGCAAACAGGAUUUGAUACCCCAGUAGUCCCUGUCUCUUAUAC